rnacentral:lncRNA from 1 species
UCUUCCUCAUGAGGUCAUCUUCUCCAAAAUAAAAAACCCUCGCUUUUUACCUUCACCUUCAACCUCCAUAGCUGCCACUCCAUCGCCGUUGCACCUUCCCCAUGCCAGAAACCUUCACGUCCAAACACCAUGACCACCACUGUCCAGCUCCACGCCCAGUAGCCCUCCUAGAAGCGUGAACCAACAGCAGCCGCUGAACCUUGACGAACCAGCAGCAACUCCGCCAGCUGUUGCCUCUUCGUCGUCACUGCUGCUUCAACCAUCAGCCCCGUCAUUUCGUCGCCAUUAACGACCCCUCACGUCUUCAACACCCCAACUCGCCGGAAAAGACCAGCCCCCCUCUCCAGUCGACCACCCUCAAGUCCAAAACGAGACCAGCCAUCCAAGGUUGUUCAGUCGUACGUCGAGGCAGUGCGUCGAAGUUCCGUUCGAGUCCGCGUCUGUCAGUCAAGUGUCAAAAGAGUGUUGUAAAUGAAGCUGCAUUUCGUCAAAAGUUCACCAUUGUUCGACGUCGGAUCGUUAUCAUAAAGGUUAGUCAUAGCUUGUUCACAGAUUUUUUGCUUUUUCUUUGAAGUGUCGUUUGCACUGUGUGUAACAGAGCAAGAAAGUGUAGUAGUAAAGGUCAUAUCUUUUACCUCGAAUCGAUGUUAUUCACGGAUCUAUUUGUGGUUUUAUUUUAAUACUUAGGAUCAUUUUGAUAAAAUUUCGUAUGAUAUUCCUACUGCAUAUUCGUUGAAAUUAUGUGUGUGCGUUUUAACGAUUUUCCUACUAGUUCAAAUUUUAUUGUUGUGUUAAGUCUAAUUUUGGAUCUAAGUUAGAGAUUUGAAUUUGUUUGUUCAAUCUGUUAAAUUUAAUUUGAAUCUGAGUUUAGUGAUUUGAAUUACUUGUUUGUUAUUGUUAUUGAAUCUGAAAGUAUGUUUGUUGUUAAAAAUGUUGUUCAGUCAAAAUAAUUUUCUGUUGAUUCUUUGUUGUUCAUCAUUUAGUUUGAACUGUUGUUGAAUUUGAUUAAGAAUUGGUUUUGCUGCUAUAUUUUGAUUAAUUGAUUUAGGAAAACUGGUUAUAGCUAAUACGUUCUUGGUGCAGAUUGAAAUUGAUGAGGGUAUAAUGGUCAUUUUAGUAUUUUGAGGGGGAUAUUUUUGGAAUUGAAAAAUAAAGAAUUGUUAAAAAAUAUAGUGCGGAACAUAAUUAUGUAAAGUAAAAAGAUGGGACAAGACAUGUGGGGAGCAUAUUGAUUAAAGUAAAAAAAGAGUGGAUUGUGGGGUUCACGUUUGACUGAUUUUAUUGAUUGGGAAUUCGAAAUUGUAGGGUAAUACUAAAAAGGGUAGUAAUAACAAUUAGAUGGUAGAAGAAUAUUGGGGGUGAAUAAGUAAAAAAAGAGAAAAAAGGUUAGUAAUAAUAAUUUAAAAGUAAAAGUUAAUAGUUAAAAAGAAUAGAGGAAAUGGUCUUGCAUUUGGGGUAUAUAAUAGCAGUCAUUUAACACUUAGGCGAGGAGGAAUUUGGAGAGAGAAAUUUCGGAACUAAAGAGGAGAUAAAAAUAGACUUUUAAUCUUGAGAGAUGAGGACUGAGAGAAGAGUACUAAUUUUCUAAAAUCAUAGAGAGUCUGUAGUUUGAGAGUGUUCUACUCCGCAUCUUAAAGAAUUGAGGAAUGAGAGAAGAGUACUAAUUUUCUAAAAUCAUAGUGAGUCUGUAGUUUGAGAGUGUUCUACUCCGCAUCUUAAAGAACAAAAAAUCAGAAUUAUCCCGAUGCCUCUUCCGUCUUUUUGGGUUCAUUCUGUCAUACAUGUAAGAGUUAUUGGGAUUUCUGGGUCUUCGCUUGGUUUUUCCUAAGUCUGGUUGGUUUUUUUGUUACUGCUCCACCGAUUUUCAAACUCUGUUUCUGGGCUACUGCGUUAGUGCUACUGGUUGUUUGUUGUUUAUGUGUAUUGCUACUGCCAUCCUGCUGAUCACUCAUCUUCUUCUUUUGCUUCUAAUAUCAGGUACACAACUGGUACACCUUGUAAGUUGAUAACAUGAAGCAUGAAUACAAAUAAAUAGUUGAAGUUUUAAUUUUAUUUAGUUUUGUUACUGAAUAUUUGUCUAAAUCUAGCAAUUAAUAUAUUACAUUUUAAGCAUGUAAUUAUUAGGAUUUUUUGCUUUUAUUUUAGAGACGGGCCAAAAAUAGAAGAAUGUAGCCGUUUUAGGAUUACCCUUUAAAAGUUAGACGUGCCUCGCCAAAUAAAAAUACGUAAAAUGCGGGGCCCUCAGUAAAGGUUUAAAAAUAUUUAAAAAAAUCGGGAAGGGUCAUUUAGCGAAUUUCACGACUCUCCCAAAAGAUUACAACGCACUAGACUCUAUUAGGUGGCUUUAAUAAACGGCUAUAAUAAACUACAUUCCUAAAUACGGGCGGGGAUUUAUACGGCCCAAGUUCAAAUCCUAAAAAGUUGGAUAGAGUUUGCAUAGGAUUGCGGGCUCCGGUCGCGCUAUCCUAAAGAACACUUUAAACAACGUUCACUUCUUGAAUAAAUACAUUUUAAAUAAAAACGGUAAAAAAGUAAAAAUUGGCACAUAUGUUCUUCAUGUAAUAAAAUCAGAUAAUAUGCUAAAUGCAACACUUGAGCGACCGUGCUAGAACUACGGAACUCGGGAAUACCUAACACCUUCUCUAGGGUUAACAGAAUUUCUUAUCCGAAUUUCUGGUUUGCGGACUGUUAACGGAGUCAUGAUUUUCCUCGGUUCAAGAUUCAACCGGUGGCUUGGGACAUCAUUAAUAUCACAAGUGGCUACUCUAAAUAAAUAAUAAAUAAAUCGUGUUCCGAUUGUCCUUUAAUUGGAAUAACUCCUUGCCACCCUCGCGGACGUGGUAAAAAGGAGGUGUGACAGCUCUGACGACUUUGCUGGGGAAUUUCCCAGAACCACUGGUCGAGGGUUCAGAAUUCGAGUUUAGAUAAAUUGUUGUAUUUGACUAUAUCUGCUUUUUCUACAUGCUUCAUGCUGAAUGUGCUAAAUGUUACCGUUUUGAUAUUAUAUGAUCUACAUAUAAACUGUGCCGACACCCUUCUCUGUUUAUCUCCGGGGUCUGUUAGGGUCAUACCCCUGAAAUAAGAAAGAGGCUCGGACAAAUUACGAUGCCAGAUGGCCUUUUGGUUCCCGGUAAGUUGUCCCCUCCUCGACUCGAGUUGUCCGCUCGGAUACACGAUCUAGAACACCGACCCAAGUUUUGAACAUAGAAUAACGUGACUUCAUGCUAGACCCCUAGUAGGAACGCUUAUCUGCAUCAUGUGCAUUUUUUACUUAGGGGACUCAACACCGGGGUUGGGUCCGUCUAGGAAUAGCAACCUGAAAUAGAAAAGACCAUGUUGAUGCAUCCUACUUGUGUUCCGUGCAUUUAAUUGUCUCGGACUUGCAUGCUGACUGGCUUUGGAAUAUUUGAAAAAGAAACUAAUGCCCAAAUACUGUCAAAAUUCUGCAGAAUUUUUUUAAGAAAAUGAAAAAAUUGUUUUAUUACUCAAAAGCAAAAAAAGAAACGAAAAAAGAAAAUUGGGACUUUGUUUUAGUUUUGGAAAUUAGAUUGUUUUAUUUUUGUUGAAAAGAAAAGUCUUUGUUUAGUUUGGAAAAAUAGAUUCUGUUAUUUUUUGUUGAAAAAAAAGGAAGAAAAAAUCUUUUAUUUUUAGUCUAAAAAAUAGCUUGUUUUAUUGUUUGUUGAAAAGAAAAAGAAAAAUAGUCUUUAUUUUAGUUUGGAAAAAAUAAGUAGUUUAUUGUUUGUUGAAAAAAAAAAGAGUUGUUAUGUUGUCUUAUUUUUAAAAAAAAAUGUAGAAAAGGAAAAAUAGUUUGUCUUGCCAUUGAAAUUGAAAAUGAAAUAAAAAUGUUUUGCUUUCGAAAGAAGUUUUAUUAUUUAUUAAAUGCCAGAAAUGAAAAUUAAAAAGUUUUGUUUUAAAAUAGUUUGUUUAAUCGGGCGAACUACGCAGGUUUGAUUCUCACGAGGUGUGAGAGACGUAUGCAGCGCUCAUCGGGUCCAACAUCCCCUUUUGAAAAAAACAACCAAAAAAAGUCAAAUUUUAAUGUUCUUCAUAAAUAAGUCAGGUGAUGUCGCUCUUGUCAAAUAUAGCUGAAGGUUCCCGAAAAGGACGCCGGAAGGAUGACUUUGCAUAAACGCCACCUUUGGUCAUUUUUUAGAUUUUGGUCGAUUGACCCACACAGCCUUAGAAUCUUCUCCCCCGAGGUACUGAAAGGCCGUGUUUGCAAUAUCUGGUCUUUUAUGUUGAAAAAAAAAAGUCAUAAUUAAGUCGGGUGAUGCCGUUUUUAUCAAAAAUAGCCGAAUGUUCCCUAAUG